GGAAAUCAAGAAACCCCCGAUCGACAGAUUUUUCCACAGCUCGGACACUGACAUUGCAGCUUCAAACAUGGACUUAUCUGUAGCUGAGAACUGAUCAAGAAUCCAGAAAUUGUUAUGCAAAAGAAGAAGGAAGUAGGAAUAACAGGGUUGUGGAGCUAGAAGACCUGGGUUUGGAUCCUAGUUUUGUUUCUUCCCACCCACUGACCUUAGGCAAAACAGUUAUAUUUGUUGAGUCUUGAUGUCGAAGGCCAACUAAGGCCACUGGCCAACGGUGAGUUGUUAUGCAGCAAUUACUAUUAUUACUGUGCCAGUCAGCACCUCUGGUAGUAAGUUGUCAUGAGCACAUCAUAUUCUCAGAUAUCUUUGUGGGUGCUAAAAAGUGGUUUAUUACAGAUAAAUGAUUUGCUCAUUAAUUAGUUCAUUUAUUCAUCGAACAAAUGUUACGUGCCGGCUCUCUGACUAUUCUAGAUGCUAUGACACAGCAACCAGCAAAGCCCCGGCUCUUAUGGAUAUCAUAUUCCACUGAGAGGGAACAGACAAUAAACGCGGAGGCCACGACCCUCUGGAUUUUGAGACCUCAGUUUCCCCACCUGCUGAGCAAGGGCUUCCAUCUCUGGGCUGCAGUGAGGAUGGACAGAGUGGACAUAAACAGGCUCCUCUCCACAUGCUGCUCUCUGCCCCGGUCCUUAUCCUGCUGGGAUGUGCACCUGAGACUCGCCUGCCUGCAGCCACCAGUGGGGAGCCAAGAUCCUGCAUCCCACAGGGACAGGAGUGUGCCCACAGCAUCUGGCCAUCCUAGAGAAUGUUUCUUCACCUACACCAGUGGCAGGAGACAAAGCAACUCUGAGAGACUUCUAGCAGACAACAUGAUGAAAGCUACUGAUUGCUGAAUGCUUAUUAUGCGUAACCUCAUUCAUUCUUCCUAAUGUCCCUAUGAGGAGGGUGCUAUUAAUAUCUCUGACUGGCAUGUGAGGCACAGAAAACACAGAGAUGAAGUGAGUCACCAGGGCCACCUAGCCCUGGAGGGUGCAGAUGGAUCACCUUUACUAGGCUUUGCUGCAGGACCUGUGUGGGUAUCUACACGUCAGUGGGUGAUUUCCAAGGGGAAUUCUCUCAAAAUCCAAAGAAACAAUCAUAAAAUUACAGAUCUCCAGGAUCCACACCUGCAGAUUUUAAUCCAGCAACCUGUGGGAGGGUUGGGGGCUGAAGGCGGGAUUGCUGCAAGCACUGGGGGGAUGCUGCAGGACCAACAUCUGGGGAGGCACGCUCACACGCAGCCCCUGCCCCCAGCGUGCUUGGCGGAGAGUGCUCGUUGAUCACAGUGCUCCUUCCUACUAGGCCAACUUGGCCUCAGAAACCUCAGGCAGGCAGUGUCCAUCAAUCAGUUGGAGGUGGCUUCGACACAAGACCAAUUUGUCAUCCUCAGGCUGAAGAUGUUAAGCUUCAUCACAGGCCACUAAUUCAACGCAGAAGGAGACUUAUGGGUACUUUUCUGCCUCAAGUUUCAUUCCACUGUGUCAUAGGGAGGGAUGAUCAUUGAACUUUUCAUUUUUAGCUGGCAGAGUGUGGAAGCUUAUCUCUAAAUUAUCCUAUUAGUUAAGGUAAUGCUAUUUGCUGUAAUGUUUUGUAACACUGAACUGUCAGGGAAACUGUUCUGUGCUUAAUUUGUUUUUUUUUUUUUUAGGCACUCAAAUGAUCUGCUCCCACCUCAUGAAUCAGAUCUGCUUAUACAUGUUGGACCAAUUAGUUAGCAUGAUUCCAGACACCAAAGCAAUCAGGUUUUGUCAGUGGCAGGACCUGGGAAAGGGGUUCUGUUCUGCCCAGGUCCAGGCUGACAGAGUCUCUGCUAUCCUUGAUGUGUGUCUUCUAAGAUCUCCAUGAGUGUUGACAGGAGCAGACAGUGGGGACAGUGGAAGACAGUGAAGGUCUGCCCAGGAAGUUUAAUAGGUCACCGGUAGAAGGCACCUUGGCCAGCACACACGCCAUUGGCCAGAGCUCAGUCACAUGGCUGCACUCGGCUGCACAGAGACUGGGAACCGGCCUGGCUGGCGCAGGAGGCCUUGGUAAACAGCCAGCAGGGUUAGUUCCCUUUGAGCUGGGGGGAGCUGUGGGCGUACUAGAGACAGAGCGUUUGAGCACCACAGAACCCAAAGCAGGUUGACAUAUGAUCUUGGAACUCCUAAGUUCCCACAAAUCAAAACACAUUCAUUUUUUACACAUAAAAUAGCUUUUGAAGCACAAAAAAUAAAUACUUUUGUAUUUCACCUUCAUUUUAACAGUCUUUUAUAAUUUUUUGUAGUUCUGGGAUUCUCUUCAUAUUUUAACAAUCUCAUAAAUUUUUUGGAGCUCUUUGCAUUUCUGACAGUAGUGAGACCUGUCUGACCUACUGCAUGGUUUUGUUCUUUUGCUGUUUGUCUCCUAAGCAGCUGUCAGACUCUAAGGGAAAUCUGCUCUGCCUUCUCUCCAUUCUGAAAUAAAGACUGGAGGGAUAAAUGAAAGUUUCUGGACACUGAGCAGAAAUAUUGAUGUGGGUCCUUUUUCUUGGAGGUAGAUGUCCCUAGCAGAGAAAGGGACAGCUUUUGGUGGGGGUGACUGUACACUGAGCCUCCUUAUGUCUCCUUGCCCCCAUCACACAGAGAGUAGUAGGCCAACUUUGCAGGGUGUAGUGCAGUGCUGGGGAAACGGUUCCUGAUGCUCACUCAGCAAGCAUUAAGACUGGUCGGUGCUGUUAUUCUGACUGUUAAUGCCAAAGUCACAAGUCACUGCUGAAGCUCAGACAGGACUGGGGUUGUGUGGGAAAGCUUUGUACCUCAGAUAAAAAUCCAUAUGUUUAAGCUCAGAAUGAACAUGUGCCUCAGCGUGCUCACCUUCUAGCCCAUCCACUGAAGCUCUCCAGAGGGGCGCUCCCAGGGUUAUGCUUGAAACAAACCCUACAUGCUCACCAGCUUUCACUGUGGAGUGACUCAGUUUCCCCACUGAUAAAAGGCGGUACAACUACAGUUCUAAACUUGCCUGUAAAACACAUUGAGUGCCUUGAAAUAAAGGUGGCAUUUAGUGUGAGUUCAAAGCGUUAUGUAAUUAUUUUAUGGCCCCUUUUAUUCC
rnacentral:lncRNA from 1 species